rnacentral:lncRNA from 1 species
ACGUCUGUCAGGGAUAAGUUUAAGUACACUGGAUCCUGCUUCAUGGUGAGAGAGCACUUGAGAUGCUUCCCAAUCAACUUCUCCACCAUCUACCUGGCUCUCCUCUAAACUCCAGUAUAACCUACCUCAAUCUCAUUAAGCAACCACCACUUGCAGGAAAAUCAAAACCUUAAUUGUUCGUUCUUUAGUAUCCUUAAUCACGCCUGCACUGCUGGGCAAUACUCACCAAUAGAAGGGAGAUGAUAACGUGCCUCAUAAGAUAUGCUAAGAUGCUAAGCCCCCUGGGCCAUCUGGACAGUUUCCUCUGAUGCAAGAGAUGUUUCGCGUUAUCCUGAGAGGAUCUGGAAAAGCAAAGGCAGCAGGACACCCACUGGAUAUUGCACUCCAGCCACCUGGCGCCCAAAAACCCCCCCUCCUGUGGCCCACUGCCGCUUCCAGCCAGGCAGGCCAUGGGUAUUCCACACUUCUAGCCAGGCAGGCCAUGGGUAUUCCACACUUCCAGCCAGGCAGGCCAUGGGUAUUCCACACUUCCAGCCAGGCAGGCCACGGCACUCAGGGCGUCGAGGCGUGCCACCGCUGGAGAGUCUCCCGCCGACCGCCUCCACAGGGGUGGGCAGCCCCCGCCACAGCCACCCCCAGGCCUCGCCUCACGCCCUCACACCUUCCCCGGCCCGGCGGAGGCCCUGAGGGGGAUGUCACGCUGCUGCCACGGCCCUGCGGGAUGCUCGGUGAAACACAGCACCUGUCCCCACCCUCCCUGGGCAGCCGGCGCGGGGGGGGGGGGGGGGGGGGGGGGGGGGGGACGAGGAGACGCUGCAGGGGACACUCCGGCGGGGCAGCGGGUGGCCAUGGCAAGGGGACAGCAGAGAGUGCACAAACCCGCCCGCCCGCGCUGCUUCCCCCGCGCCGCCGCCACCCGCCCGCACCAGCGAGCCGCCGCUCCCGGCGCGGGCCCGCCCGCACUGAUAUUCCCCACCUCGCCUCAGAGAGACGGCCCGCCCGCUCCUUCUCCUCCCCGCCACGGCCCAGCGGCCUCACCCGCCCAGCGGCUUGGCUCAGCUCGGCUCCGGUCUCCGCGGCCGUGCAAGCCCAACGCAGCGAUGGGCUGCGGCGGGCACCUCCCGCCCGGGUGGGCCCGGUCCCGCCUCCCCGGUGCCCAGCCCCACACCGCGGCGCCCAGGGCGGGAGGGGGAGGGAAGGGGCGGGCAGCGGCGCUCUAGCCGGGC